GAUGAACGCUGGCGGCGUGCCUAAUACAUGCAAGUCGAGCGAACAGACGAGGAGCUUGCUCCGCGGACGUUAGCGGCGGACGGGUGAGUAACACGUGGAUAACCUACCUAUAAGACUGGGAUAACUUCGGGAAACCGGAGAUAAUACCGGAGAAGAUAUUGAACCGCAGGGUUGAAUAGUGAAAGACGGUGGUGGUGGCACGUAUAGAUGGAUCCGAGCCGUAUGAGCUGGUUGGGAAGGUAAAGGCUUACGAAGGCAACGAGGCGUAGCCGAGCUGAGAGGCUGAUCGGCCACACUGGAACUGAAACACCGUCCAUACUCCUACGGGAGGCAGCAGUCGGGAAUCUGCCGCAAUGGUCGAAAGCUUUGCGCAGCAACGCCGCGUGAGUUAUGACGGUCUUCGGUUCGUAAAACUCUGCUACUAGUGAAGAACCACUGUCUCAGUAACUAUGCACGUCUUGACGGUACCUGAUCAGAAAGCCACGGCUAACUACGUG
rnacentral:rRNA from 1 species